rnacentral:rRNA from 1 species
AAACGAUGAAGCCCUUUCGGGGUGGAUUAGUGGCGAACCGGGUGAGUAACACGUGGGCAAUCUGCCCUUCACUCUGGGACAAGCCCUGGAAACGGGGUCUAAUACCGGAUACCACUCCUGCCUGCAUGGGCGGGGGUUGAAAGCUCCGGCGGUGAAGGAUGAGCCCGCGGCCUAUCAGCUUGUUGGUGGGGUAAUGGCCCACCAAGGCGACGACGGGUAGCCGGCCUGAGAGGGCGACCGGCCACACUGGGACUGAGACACGGCCCAGACUCCUACGGGAGGCAGCAGUGGGGAAUAUUGCACAAUGGGCGAAAGCCUGAUGCAGCGACGCCGCGUGAGGGAUGACGGCCUUCGGGUUGUAAACCUCUUUCAGCAGGGAAGAAGCGAAAGUGACGGUACCUGCAGAAGAAGCGCCGGCUAACUACGUGCCAGCAGCCGCGGUAAUACGUAGGGCGCAAGCGUUGUCCGGAAUUAUUGGGCGUAAAGAGCUCGUAGGCGGCUUGUCACGUCGGAUGUGAAAGCCCGAGGCUUAACCUCGGGUCUGCAUUCGAUACGGGCUAGCUAGAGUGUGGUAGGGGAGAUCGGAAUUCCUGGUGUAGCGGUGAAAUGCGCAGAUAUCAGGAGGAACACCGGUGGCGAAGGCGGAUCUCUGGGCCAUUACUGACGCUGAGGAGCGAAAGCGUGGGGAGCGAACAGGAUUAGAUACCCUGGUAGUCCACGCCGUAAACGUUGGGAACUAGGUGUUGGCGACAUUCCACGUCGUCUAGGUGCCGCAGCUAACGCAUUAAGUUCCCCGCCUGGGGAGUACCGGCCGCAAGGCUAGAAACUCAAGAGGAAUUGACGGGGGCCCGUCACAAGCGGCGGAGCAUGUGGCUUAAUUCGAGCGCAACUGCUGAAGAGACCUUACCAAGGCUUGACAUAUACGCGGAAAGCAUUAGAGAUACCGUGCCCCACCUUGUGGUCGGUAUAGCAGGUGGUGCAUGGCUGUCGCUCAGCUCGUGUCGGUGAGAUGUUGGGUUAAGUCCCGCAACCGAGCGCAACCCUUGUUCCUGUUGUGUCCAGCAU